UACGAAGGGGGCUAGCGUUGCUCGGAAUCACUGGGCGUAAAGGGUGCGUAGGCGGUUUGUCGCGUCGGCUGUGAAAACCUGGGGCUCAACCCCGGGCCUGCAGCCGAUACGGGCAAACUAGAAUUCGGUAGGGGAGACUGGAAUUCCUGGUGUAGCGGUGAAAUGCGCAGAUAUCAGUCGGAACACCGGUGGCGAAGGCGGCUUCUUGGGCCGUUCCUGACGCUGAGGCGCGAAAGCCAGGGGAGCGAACAGG
rnacentral:rRNA from 1 species